GACGAACGCUGGCGGCGUGCUUAACACAUGCAAGUCGAACGGAAAGGCCCUGCUUUUGUGGGGUGCUCGAGUGGCGAACGGGUGAGUAACACGUGAGUAACCUGCCCUUGACUUUGGGAUAACUUCAGGAAACUGGGGCUAAUACCGGAUAGGAGCUCCUGCUGCAUGGUGGGGGUUGGAAAGUUUCGGCGGUUGGGGAUGGACUCGCGGCUUAUCCGCUUGUUGGUGGGGUAGUGGCUUACCAAGGCUUUGACGGGUAGCCGGCCUGAGAGGGUGACCGGCCACAUUGGGACUGAGAUACGGCCCAGACUGCUACGGGAGGCAGCAGUGGGGAAUAUUGCACAAUGGGCGGAAGCCUGAUGCAGCAACGCCGCGUGCGGGAUGACGGCCUUCGGGUUGUAAACCGCUUUCGCCUGUGACGAAGCGUGAGUGACGGUAAUGGGUAAAGAAGCACCGGCUAACUACGUG
rnacentral:rRNA from 1 species